rnacentral:rRNA from 1 species
UGCGGCGGAUUAGGUAGUUGGUGGGGUAACGGCCUACCAAGCCGAUGAUCCGUAGGGGGCGUGAGAGCGUGGCCCCCCACACUGGCACUGAGACACGGGCCAGACUCCUACGGGAGGCAGCAGUGAGGAAUAUUGCACAAUGGGCGCAAGCCUGAUGCAGCAACGCCGCGUGAGGGACGAAGGCCUUCGGGUUGUAAACCUCUUUUCUGAGGGACGAGGAAGGACGGUACCUCAGGAAUAAGUCUCGGCUAACUACGUGCCAGCAGCCGCGGUAAAACGUAGGAGGCGAGCGUUAUCCGGAUUUACUGGGCGUAAAGCGCGCGCAGGUGGCUUCGUGAGUCGGACAUGAAAGCUCCUGGCUUAACUGGGAGAGGCUGUUCGAUACUGCGGGGCUUGAGGUUGGGAGAGGGACGCGGAAUUCCCGGUGUAGUGGUGGAAUGCGUAGAUAUCGGGAGGAACACCAGUGGCGCAAGCGGCGUCCUGGCCCACACCUGACGCUGAGGUGCGAAAGCGUGGGUAGCAAACAGGAUUAGAUACCCUGGUAGUCCACGCUGUAAACGAUGUCAACUGGGUGUCGGUAGUUUUACACUAUCGGUGCCGAAGCUAACGCG